CUUCUCUUCCCUUCCAUUGACUCAGGUUCAGGAUCUGCAGAAUGUCACUGAAAGCACAGCCUAGAUAUGUGAAGAAUGAGGCAGUAGUGUACUAAGAGUUCUGCUUCGGUCCAGGGUGUCUCUGCUUUCACGGAACUGCGACAGUAUGAUCUCUGCUUGCUUCCGAGAGAAAUAAGGACCUGUAAGGUCUGUGGAAGGGAUGCUCAUACACCCAUCAGCCUUGCUGCUCCCUUUGUCCCUGUCCCCUGGCUCCUGCCUCGCACUCUGGGUUUGCAGGCAGUGUGGCAGAUGUUGAUAAUGGACUCACCCCUCUGCCUGACGUGAUUUUUGUACAACAUUUUCCCUACAACUUGCCUGACCACCCUGAGAAUUAGCUGACCUGAGCAGAAUGUAAAGGGCAGCUAAUUCCCUCUUUUUGACUUGUUAGAGAGCACAAUUACACUAACUAUGUUCGUUUGGAGGGGCAGGGUGGCAAACAGAAAUGCCAUACGAAGAUUGUUUUGCAGGAGUAUAAAGUGGCAGAAGGCCAAGCAAGCUUCCCACAACUAAUCUCUUUAGGGAAGAUGCCAGCCUGAAUGCUCAUGUACUCUCCUCUGUUUGCUGAUUCAUGGCUGGAAUAAGUAUCAGCCUUUUUUUCUGGCUGAAGUUAAUGAGAAGGAAAGGAUACUGGCACUAUCGAGGAAGUAAAAUGGAGCCAGAUUGAAUCAACAAUAUAGAAAUCCACGUGGGUUAGCCCUGAUGCUUGCUUGUGUUUGGCUCUGACUUCCAGUUGUUACUUGCCCUGCUUGCAAUAUUCAAAUAGAUAAGAUUAUUCCUGACUUCUUGUUGGUGACUGCAUGCACACCAUGCCUUAGCACAUGAAACUCUGUGCUUGAGGUGAGGAGCUGGUUUACCUGCUAUACACUGGAGUGAGGCACCACAUAGGCUGGUGAGCACAGUCACACCCAUAACCUCUUCAAAAUUAAAUUAGAGAUAAGUGGUAUGUUUGGGAUGAACAGGGCAAUACAUUUUAAAGAAUCACCUGUGGAUUGCUGAGGAGGAGUCUGUGCUGGAUUUGGACUUCUGGAGAAGGAGUGAAACACUGGCAAAUAUCCCUAAACCCCUAAAACAUGUGAGACAACUAAACUGAGGGUUUAGGGAACCAACUAGCAAAAACCCACAAGAGCACUUCGCAGAUCAGAACAUGAAAAAGGGCUUUUAAUUUUUUUUAACAAACUUUUCUUGUUAACUCCUCUGAAGAAAGGAGAAGGAUUGCUGCACCGAAACUGUGGAAGCCACUGGCUGCAGUGGAACAGCAGAGGGAUGAUGGAGAUGAUGUGGGCUUUGUCAGUCCAAGGGGAGGAGAUUAAGGAAUAAGGAGAUCCUGCCAAUUCUUUAAUGAGGAUUUUUCACUUUAAUUCCAUUCCUCUAAGCUGUAAAAUUAAGAAUAAUAAGAGCCUUCAGUGUUCCCUUCAAAAGGUGGUUAAACAACGUAGAUCUUUUUGGCUAUGUGGAGUCUGCAGAGGGGUGGGAGCCUGUGCUGUCCUGCUACCUCCGCUUCCUCCCUCUGUGUCUGGGCCUCAGAUGAUAUGGCAAUGGCAGAGUGGGGUGAAGCUGUUUACAAAACUGCCAAACACUGUGCCACCAAAGGUACUUCACUUCUGCUUGGGUGCCUACUUGACUUUUUGAGCACAUAAUGAACUAUUAUUUAACCAAAGAAAAUUAAGUCCCAUUUGCCUUAUGUUCUUAAGGAUUCAGAAGAGCAUUUAGUACAAUUAUUGCUAGUACAUUGACAAUCGGUUCUGAGCGAUCUGGAUAAAAACAUCUGCAGUGCUUUCAGUCAAUGUAAUAGAUUAAGAUGAUAAAUC